UACCCGCAGCACAAGUGGUGGUCAUUAUUAUUGGGCCUAAAGCGUCCGUAGCAGGCUUGUUAGAUGCCUGGGUAAAUCGAUGCGCUCAACGCAUCGAACUCCGGGUAGACCGGCAAGCUCGAGACCGGGAGAGGCGUGAGCUACUCGAGGGGUAGGGGUAAAAUCCUGUAAUCCUUCGGGGAGGACCAGUGGCGAAGGCGUCACGCUAGAACGGCUCUGACUGUGAGGGACGAAGCCCUGGGGCGCAAACCGG
rnacentral:rRNA from 1 species